UACGGAGGGUGCAAACGUUGCUCGGAAUCAUUGGGCGUAAAGCGCACGUAGGCGGCCUGAUAAGCCGGGUGUGAAAGCCCUGGGCUCAACCCAGGAAGUGCACUCGAACUGUCAGGCUUGAAUAUGGAAGAGGGUCGCGGAAUUCCCGGUGUAGAGGUGAAAUGCGUAGAUAUACGGAGGAACACCAGCGGCGAAGGCGG
rnacentral:rRNA from 1 species